rnacentral:rRNA from 1 species
CAGCCGCCGCGGGAAUACGUAGGUGGCAAGCGUUGUCCGGAUUUAUUGGGCGUAAAGCGAGCGCAGGCGGUUUCUUAAGUCUGAUGUGAAAGCCCCCGGCUCAACCGGGGAGGGUCAUUGGAAACUGGGAGACUUGAGUGCAGAAGAGGAGAGUGGAAUUCCAUGUGUAGCGGUGAAAUGCGUAGAUAUAUGGAGGAACACCAGUGGCGAAGGCGGCUCUCUGGUCUGUAACUGACGCUGAGGCUCGAAAGCGUGGGGAGCGAACAGGAUUAGAUACCCCGGUAGUCCCUGUCUCUUAUAC